UUCCUUCUUAAUCCCGAUUCUCUCCUCCCUCCACCGAUCCUCUCCUCCUUCGCCUCUCGCAGCACCACCGUCGCCCCCUCUUGGUGUCGCCGGCGUAGGGCAACCCUUGAUCGUUGAGGAGGGUAGCUAUCGACUCUUCUUCCUCCCUUUCUUUCUCUCUCACGCGAAAGCCCGAUACCGACGGAGAACGACUUCCUCCACUGCGAUCGUGUACUUGCCGAGUCGCCGGAGGAAGUGUCGUUGGAUCUCGACGAUACCUGUCAUCUCCGGCUGAGCGAUUGCAUCUUCAGCGGGUUCUUGCUCACGAUCGAUUGUUGCUUGGCUUCCAGGGAACAACGGAGCUAGGGCACGACAGGGGAGUUGAUUCGCAUCAUUCUCGGCGGAUCGAGCCCUCUCAAUCUUCUCUUCGAUCUGUUCAUUGGAGAGAGUUGCAGAUCGUCACUAGUUGAGAUGGAUCGUGCGACACGAACUGGAGACGAUCAGUUGAGAGGAUGUAUCGGAUCAACAUAGGGGUGGACUUCUCUUGAGCUAAACACCACUGGCGACCCCAUCUUUCCACCACCAACCUGCUGUCGUCGGGAAUUCACUAUUGCUGGCAAUAGUGAGCUGCUACCAGAGAAGAAGGAAGUUAAUUGGAGGCUUCAUUUGCUUUCAGCCACCACAUAACCGAUAGCUAGUUGCUAGCUCCAUCUGAUUUAUAUCAUUAUUGGCUACUGAAGAAGAAGAGGAUUUUGAUUCGAGGCGAGCGUCUCGACAUGGGGGUUGUAUUUGACACAAUCUACAUUUAAGGCGGGUAUUUCUUCCUUGGCUUCUAUAUAUUUAUUUGAGCUUAGUGCAUGGUUAUUAUUAGAUGGAUUAGGUUGUUUCACCUUAAAUCAUGAUCAUUUGUUGUUUUUCCUGCUUGAUACUUAUGCUUGGUCUUUGAGAUGUUCUAGUUAUAUCAUAUACAGUCUCAUUUCUCGAUACUUGGACUCUGUUGUAUAUACACAUAUAGGGUAUGUAUUAUCGGGAGGUCUGGUUGGUUUAGGUUAUUAUGUUGUUUAUGCAUGCCCAUGUUGAGUGUACUCAUGAUUGGUAUAUGUUGUAAGAAUCAUAUGAUUGACUGUCUAUUUGAGUUCAGUGUGGUUAUUGAGGUUUCUUGUGGAUUGUACCCAUGUGUUUAUGUGUAUACGUCUGAUUAUGAUACUGGAGGAUUUAUGUUGGUUAUACCUACGUUUUAGGGAGUGUACGAGUAUGUGGUGUAUAUGAGUUUAGUGAGGUUAUUGGAGAUUUUUGGUUGACUAUACAUGUGUAGUUGUGUACACGUGUUUGGUGGGAUAUAUGGAGGUAUCAUGAUGAUUAUAUUCAUGUUAGGGGUACUUAUGUGGAUUUAGAGGUUGCAUGGAUGAUGAUGGUGUCUGUAUCAUGAUUAUAUAUAUAUCAUGUUCAUCAUUCAUUGCAUACUGACGACUAUGUUCUCCCUUGUAGUGAGAGAGUCGUUAGUCGUUUUGGUUUAGCGUUGUACACUCAGCCACUCAUGGGUAGUGGUAGCUGGAGCAGUUGUCGCUCAUCCUGUCGUGCCACCCGGUCACGAGGUUUGUGAGAUCCGACAUUGUGAGCAGUCAGAGACCCUAAUGUUAUGUAGUUAGAUAGCUACUAGCGGACUGUCCACCUCGACCACUUUAUAGUGGGCUGGAGGGUAGUACAGUCAUCACGGACCCAAGCCUCUCGGCCA